CCUACGGGAGGCUGCAGUAGGGAAUCUUCCACAAUGGACGAAAGUCUGAUGGAGCAACGCCGCGUGAGUGAAGAAGGGUUUCGGCUUGUAAAGCCCCGUUGGUAGGGAAGAAAGUCAGAGGUAGUAACUGGCAUUUAUAUGACGGUAAUUACUUAGAAAGUCACGGCUAACUACGUGCCAGAAGAUGAGGUAAUACGUAGGUGGCAAGCGUUGUCCGGAUUUGUUGGGCGAAAAACGAGCGCAGGCGGGUUAGCAAGUUUGGUAUAAAAGGGUUUGGCUUAACGAAGGAUUGUAUCAAAAACUGUAACUCUAGAGUGUGGGAGAGAGAUGUGGAAUUCGAGGUGGAGCGGUGGAAUGCGUAGAUAUAUGGAAGAACACCAGUGGCGAAGGCGGGAUCUUGGGCUAUCACUGACGCUGAGGCUCGAAAGUGUGGGGAGCAAAUAGGAUUAGAUACCCGAGUAGUC
rnacentral:rRNA from 1 species